rnacentral:rRNA from 1 species
UCCUGGCUCAGAUUGAACGCUGGCGGCAUGCCUUACACAUGCAAGUCGAACGGCAGCACGGGGGCAACCCUGGUGGCGAGUGGCGAACGGGUGAGUAAUACAUCGGAACGUGUCCUAGAGUGGGGGAUAGCCCGGCGAAAGCCGGAUUAAUACCGCAUACGCUCGAGAGAGGAAAGCGGGGGAUCUUCGGACCUCGCGCUCAAGGGGCGGCCGAUGGCGGAUUAGCUAGUUGGUAGGGUAAAGGCCUACCAAGGCGACGAUCCGUAGCUGGUCUGAGAGGACGACCACGCCACACUGGGACUGAGACACGGCCCAGACUCCUACGGGAGGCAGCAGUGGGGAAUUUUGGACAAUGGGGGCAACCCUGAUCCAGCAAUGUNGUGUGUGUGAAGAAGCCCUUCCGGUUGUAAAGAACUUUUGUCCGGAAAGAAAUCCUCUGGGUUAAUAGUCGGGGGGAUAAAGGUACCGGAAGA